ensembl:lncRNA
GUUAUUUCUCUGGUUUACGUGUGUAGUUAUUUCUCUGGUUUUACUGUGUUGUAGGUUAUUUCUGUGGUUACUGUGUUGUAGGUAUUUCUCUGGUUUACUGUGUUGUAGGCUCUUUCUGUGGUUUACUGUGUGUUGUAGGUUAUUUCUCUGGUUUACUGUGUUGUAGGUUAUUUCUCUGGUUUACUGUGUUGUAGGUUAUUUCUCUGCGUUUUACUGUGUGUUGUAGGUUAUUUCUCUGGUUUUACGUGUUGUAGGUUAUUUCUCUGGUUACUGUGUGUUGUGUUGUAGGUUAUUUCUCUGGUUUUACUGGUGUGUAGGUUAUUUCUGUGGUUAUCAACCGACC